GAUGAACGCUGGCGGCGUGCCUAAUACAUGCAAGUCGAGCGAACGGACGAUGCGCUUGCUUCUCUGAUGUUAGCGGCGCGCGGGAGAGUAACACGUGUAUAACCUACCUAUAAGACUGGGAUAACUUCGGGAAACCGGAGCUUAUACCGGAUAAUAUUUUGAACCGCAGGGUUCGAAGGAGAGAGACGGUCUUGCUGGAACUUAUAGCGGGAUACCCGCUGGAUUAGCUAGUAGGUAAGGUAACGGCUUACCAAGGCAACGAUGCAUAGCCGACCUGAGAGGGUGAUCGGCCACACUGGAACUGAGACACGGACCAGACUCCUACGGGAGGCAGCAGUAGGGAAUCUGCCGCAAUGGGCGAAAGCCUGACGGAGCAACGCCGCGUGAGUGAUGAAGGUCUUCGGAUCGUAAAACUCUGUUAUUAGGUAAGAACAUAUGUGUAAGUAACUGUGCACAUCGUGACGGUACCUAAUCAGAAAGCAACGGCUAACUACGUG
rnacentral:rRNA from 1 species